ensembl:rRNA 5S_rRNA 5S ribosomal RNA
GCUUACUGGCCAUACCAGCCCAAGAACGCUCUGGUCUCGUCUGAUCUCGGAAGCUAAGAAGGCUUGGGCCUGGUUAGUACUUGGAUGGGAGACCUCCUGGGAAUACCAGGUGCUGUAAGCU